rnacentral:misc_RNA from 1 species
UUCGGUAUCCUGUGUUGCUUACCUAUCAAAAGGAGCCAGACGGUCUCAUUUGUCCCUCUCCACCCUUGGCCCUCGCGGGUUGUGGGGUGGACAUUAGGCACGUCUCGUGUUCCCAGCAAGCCUUGCCUAGUCGCUCGGCUGCCUUGACCCGUGGUGUGCUCUGCCCGUUCUCUCGGACGCUGAACAUUACGCGCAGGCAUGGGGUCUUUCAGCUCCAUCUACCCAAGCAAAGCAUCUGUCCAUCAACUUGAACAAUUAUUGUGCUUGUAUUGAACCCACAAGCUCACGGUUCGUUGGGUGUCAUGCAGGCGUCGGCAUCGCAAAGGAAUGCUACCUGGUUGAUCCUGCCAGUAGUCAUAUGCUUGUCUC